rnacentral:misc_RNA from 1 species
UCCGGCUUGUCGCCGGCGGUCCCUUUAGAGUGCCCAACUGAAUGAUGGCAACUAAAGGCGAGGGUUGCGCUCGUUGCGGGACUUAACCCAACAUCUCACGACACGAGCUGACGACAGCCAUGCAGCACCUGUGUCCAGGUUCCCUUUCGGGCACACCCCCAUCUCUGGAGGCUUCCUGGCAUGUCAAGGGUAGGUAAGGUUUUUCGCGUUGCAUCGAAUUAAUCCACAUACUCCACCGCUUGUGCAGGCCCCCGUCAAUUUCUUUGAGUUUUAAUCUUGCGACCGUACUCCCCAGGCGGGGUGCUUAAUGCGUUAGCUUCGGCACGGACGGAGUCGACACCGCCCACACCUAGCACCCAUCGUUUACGGCGUGGACUAC